AUCAUUUCUCAGCCUUUUGGCAAGACCAAGUGUAGUAUCUGUUCUUAUCAGAUAUUGGUAUCUGCAGGCACUCCUGGAACAAAUCCCCCCACGGGAUAUGGGAUAUGGAGAGACAACUGUACUUGUUUCCAUAUCUGCU
rnacentral:snRNA from 1 species